UUGCUCGCACUUACCUCAUCAACUUGCAUUUAUCGUAUUUAUCAUGAGAUGGCAAAUAUUUAUCAUGGAGGAUUAUUCUGACGAUGUAUCAUGAACAGUAAUUUAUGGCCUAUCCCUACACCAUAGUACCUCAAGUUUGAAGUACCACCUACCAGCUCAGUAUAGAGGCAAUUCUUAUCCACUUAUUAUGCAGUUCAAGGCACUGAAAAAUUCAACAAAAGCCUUAAUGUAAAGCAAUGUAUGCAUUAUUUCUUUAUCAAAUCAAACCAAACUUUGCUUAAAAGACAGCCCAUUAGUCACUUCUUGCUCCUGAACAUAUGUACUGGUGUCAAAGUUGUGACAGUUUGUGUGAUUACAAGCAGCGGCAGAGCUGCAAAAUGCAUGAAUGGCAUGAUAAGUUGGGGGCCUGUUUGCUGAGCGGGUGGAAUAGCACAACACAAGCCCUGCUGGUUUAAACUGUUCUGGCUUUGUGAGCAGGGACAUAAAAUAAUCCCUGCAGCCAGGUCGCAGGUGCAGCCUCCAGGCUACUGUUAACUCAGUCAAUCUGAAAAACAUCGAUCAAAGGCACACAAGCCCAGAGAGGUGUGUCAGUGAUCCCAAACAACGCUGCUUCUCCCGGGAUACAGGGGUUAUUGCCCAAGGAUUUAACUGAGGGAGAAAAAUGAUCAAAGAAGGAGAUUUAUCCACUAUCAAGGUAUUCAAACACUUUUUACAAUCGAUUUAAAAACUGAAGCCAUUUUUGUGACCUAAACAAAGAAAAAAUAAUGCUUGUUCUGUGUCGCAAUUUACACAGGUGUGCCAUAUUAGAACUACAAAACAUGGGUUUUACAAUCAGCCAAAGAAAACACACUGGCAGUGUCAUUUUGAAUGCUAAAUGUUGCAACGAUUGUUUUUAAAGAUGGUUACUAAGUGCUGCUGGCAAAAGUACAGAAGACGAAAUCUGUAAAAAAGAACUUAUUUCAAAAUAAGUUAAGGGGAUGUGAGUACCCUUAAGUCUAGCUCAAGUACAGACAUUUGAAUUUCUAAUUAUCUGAACAUCUCAUGUGACAAGCCGAAGACAGUUUUAGUGAUUUAUAAAUGUUAUCUACUUCAGCUUUUUUAUUCAUCUUUUUGAAGAUUCAACAUGUUCCCCUCAGUUCCCCUCUUGCUACAAAAAAGGUGGACAAUGAGAGAUCCCAUUGAUUAAACCAGUUAUUACUCAACCUUUAAGCACAAUUAAAGGAAAUCAUUAAGUUUAAUGAAAUACUGGAGUGCUGCUCCUCUUCCUCAAAGGUUUCCCUCAUUAGAAUGGCCCCACAAGGUCAAGAAUAUGUGAUUGGGCUCUGUUCACUUUAUGAGUUUGGCCUCUCUCAUUAGACUUCCUGUCCACAGGGAAAAGUUAGUCCCACAACUCACUCAAAGCACACAAGGGAUGUAUACUACUUCGACGUGUGGCAGGAGAACUGCAUUUAUUAAGCCAAAUCCAUCACUAAUCCUUUAAGGAAUGAUGCUGAAUACUUCCACUGAUAGCUUCAUUUUCACCCAUCUAUCAGCUGUGUGUUUCUUCUAUUUUUCUUACUCUUCUGGGUUAAGCUGCUGAUCUUUUUGAUCAAGGUGCUGGCCCUAAAUGAGAAGAGAGGAUCCCUAAAUGAACAUCAAACAGUUCUGGGCUGUGUGAUGUUAGAAAAUAAAGGGGCGAAUGGGGACUACUUCACAAAUUGAAUUAUGUUUCUACUCUGACAGUACCUGCACCCUGUUGGCAUGAUUUUCAGCACUGAGAUCAAUGCGAUUUAUAAAAUUCCUGUUUAAAAACCAGCCCAUUUGUCCACCCGCCCAGUUUAGAUUUGGAGUCCUGAUAAAUAUAAUUGCAUGGAUGCUCCUUGAUGGAGGUUGCUUGAUCCAGAGCCUGAGUAAACUCAUUAAGAAUGUAGGAAUAAUCCAAUGCCAAUAUUAGGUUGCCCAGUGCAGCAGGCCUGGAUAAGCGUGUGUGAAGGUCACCCCCCUCAAUCAGCUCUGCCGGUUAUCAUGUCAGUCCAGAAAUCCUGAUUCACGAGGCUUCCAGAGUCAAUGAAUGACUUAACCUGUGACCAUAAUUCCUUGUAAUUUGGAAAGAAUGAACACAUCACAGCAGAGACUCUUUAUUAGUUGUUUAAAGAUUAAAAAAAAAAAAACAUGACCCUCCAAGCUGAAACUGUGAGGCAAAAGUAUAAGAGGCAAAAGCAAUAGAGGACUGGGCUGAGGGGUGGAGUUUGAGUAUUGGUUUGACAGAACUAAAUGUUAACUGGAUUGGGCUGUCACUUGUGGAGAUAAAUCCCUCAUAGGCCCCGCGAUAGCAAGAGAGGAGAGGAAGCUGCAGAUAAACAACAAGGAGCUGGGAAAGAGGCUACACCCGAGUUGACAGCGUUCCAGUUAACAAGUUGGAAAACCAAGAUGGACGCCUACUGUUAGGCGUUGUUAGCUAUUGUUUACAAUUGUCAGCUGUUGUGAGCCAUUGACAGUUGUUGUUAGCUUUACCAGUUGUAAACAAUGCAUAAGUAUUUUACUCUUACAAACACCAUAGCACUGUGUUCACAGUUAGACGUUGGGCAGUACAACAUAAACCAGUUUCACAAAAACAAAACAAAAGUGCUGAUAAAUAAUAAAUAAACAUUAUAUUAAAAUAAAUAAACAUAAAUAAUAAUAGACGUAGAGCUUUUACUGUUACUUUUUACUGUUGAUGUACUGCGCUGCCAUCUUGGAUAAUGACAUUGUCAUCAAGUCAGGGUUGGCGAGGAUCGUCCGACUUCGGGGGGCGUUCCAGAUAAAUUUCCGACUUGGAGCUUGGAGAUUCCAAAUUCCGAGUACAACUGGAACACAGCAUAACAUUAGCAACACCAAAGAGGUCAGCUAUAUACUACCAACUGUGUUCUGAUGCUGGCUGGUGGUCUAUCCAAUAUGUUUUUUUACCUGGAAAUACAGCCUAACGUCUCUGGGUUUUCACCACCCGUCAUCUGUAUGGCUGCUAAUCAAUCGGGGCACAACAGUGCUGCCAUUAUCACGCCUUGGUACUUACAGAUUGCACCCUAUAAAGACCUGAUAUUGGUGUCCCAGUAAGUCAUUACACAUCACAUUACGUGGUUGUGGGACUGCAAGAGGCACUGCUUUGUAACACACAUACACACACACUCAGAUAAGCACGUACAUACAGCACUGGCCAGCUUUGAUACUACACAUCGCCUCCUCCUUCCCCUAAUCCCACCUCUGUAACCACCUCAGAGGGAGGAUCAUAGGUCGUUAUACACUACAGACGAGGCGUAACAGAUGCUUAAAUAUCUUAACUUGAAAUGGCAAGCGCCUAAUAAGAUGACUAUAUUCAAGCUUCCCACUUAGAGUAUGAGAGGUUGUGUAAUCUGGUUUUAUGUCAGGUGGUGAAGAAAUUGACUUUGACAUAAUAUUUGCUUUUUGAACCACAAAACCCUGCAAGAGUGAACACAGAACAUCUCCUUUGCUUAACUUUAUGAUACGAUAUACAAACAUCAAAGGAAAUCCAAAAUACUGCAUUAUAUUGUGGUGUAAAUGGGUGAUUAUUGAGAAUAGCUGUAAAAGGAGCCUUUAUUACGAUAAAGAAAGAACUGACACAUUUAACGCUUCUCCCAAAAGUGAGGCCUCCUUCUACCAGCUGCAAGACAGUGACAAGACAAAAUGAACAGCAUUGUGCCAGGAUUUAAACCUCAUAAUUAAGUUCAUGUUUAUAUAUAUUUGAUGAAAUAAUUAAAGAAAAUUACACAGGGGAAAUCAGCGGUAAAAUCCGUCUCAUACUUAAGUAAACAGAAGCUGACAGGAAAACAACUGAACCUUGUCCAAAAUGUUAGUUUCUUUUAUUUUCCUUUCAUCCUAAAGCUGUGGUUGAAGUAAACCCUGAUAUCUUUCUGGACAAAUAGCUUUCUGAGUACUAUGAGGGGAACCUUUGGCCUUAGACUCUUGUUGUCUGUAAAGCAUUGACUGCUAAUUAACAGGACAAACAAUGUUUUGUCAUGGUUGUCACAGCAUGUCAAAGCCAAGGCGCGAUAACAAAUGAGCUCCUCCAGGAUGAAGAUGAUUUAAUACACACAUCAAACAUAGAUAAAUGAGGAUCCUACAGGUUCCUGCCAAAAUGACUGAGCAGCUGAAUCUGUGGUUAAAUCAAUGACAGAAUAAAUGGAUCUAUGACUGAGCAAAGGACAAGCAGGCAAACAACUCACUAACAUCCAGGUGUGAUUGGGAAGGAUUGAUGUUAGUCGGGAGCAACAGGUACCAAACAGCUUCAUCAUUGCAGAGAGUCCAAGAGAGAGGGUUGUGACAACUUUAUGACUUUUAGAUUUAAUAGCAGCAUUUAAGGUCAAAUGUUUGCUAAUAAAGAAGUAAAAUGUGACAAUAAUUCAUGCGUAAUUUUGUUUUGCUCUGAGGUUUUUAUAAUGAUGCAUGGAUUCCUCAAUGGUUCAGGUUAAUCUAUCACUUAAAUCCAUCCACUUUCUCCCACCUAUUAAGGAGCAGCUUGCAGUGCUUACAGGCUGAGCCCAGACAUCCCUCUGUCCUGCAACGAUUUCCAGUCCAAUGCCCGAACCACCUCAACUGACCCCUAUCAAUGCAAAGAAGUAACAACUCUGAUCUGUGCAUCCAUUGGUUGUCCAAGGCCCUGACCCUGUCACUUGAGCUGAGCCGAGCUUGGACACUCAUUUCAGCUGCUUGUGUGCACACUCUCACAGCCAAAGAUCACGACCAGUUGAGUGUUGGAACCAUAGACUA